rnacentral:rRNA from 1 species
UACGUAGGGUGCAAGCGUUGUCCGGAAUCACUGGGCGUAAAGGGCGCGUAGGUGGUGGCUUAAGCGUGCGGUGAAAGCUCGGAGCUCAACUCCGAGUCGGCCGUGCGAACUGGGCUCACUGGAGCAUAGUAGAGGCAGGUGGAAUUCCGGGUGUAGCGGUGGAAUGCGUAGAGAUCCGGAAGAACACCGGUGGCGAAGGCGGCCUGCUGGGCUAUGGCUGACACUGAGGCGCGACAGCGUGGGGAGCAAACAGG